GCGCUGUCACCUGUAUUCCCACAUAAUUUGUUUUGAGGCGAAAAAAAUGUUUACGGAGUAAAAGUAGACGUGUAGCGCUGGCAAGAAAAUAUUCAAUCAAGUUUAUAGCUUCAAUUCUUCUCGGCUCAGUACCAAGCGGUGUUUUAUCUCGACCAACGGCUUCAAGGCUCAUUUGAGCGGCUGUAAUGGGCUUGGAUACGUUCGAUGUUGGUGGAGAUGGACGAGUAUUUUAUGGCCUAUAAUAUCUCAUGUCGGGACGCGACAUGAUUCUAUCCAACUAUAACGGACAAGCCUCCGGCACUACGAAAUGAAUUAUGGGACAAUACCAACUGUAGGUAGUGUGGACUAUCCUUAUUAUUAUCCUAGAUUAUUAUGUAUAUGUCAUUAGAUGGGAUGUAAAUAAUAUGAGCACUAAAUGUUGUUAAAGCAGGAUUGUUGCUGUUAUAUUUGUAGAUUGUACCUGUAUAGAGACUUCAAAAAACCAAAAUUUCUGAUAUAUGAAAACUAUGAUGGUGAUCCUGCCUGCAUACGUUUACGUUGGCAGCGUGCCGGUGAAGGAUGAUGGGUGAGAAUAAAAUCAGGUCAGUUUU